UUUAACUCUCUCAUUCAAUGCAACUCCCUCCUUUUCUCAGCCACAACUCCUUUGGUUGAAGUCAAUUUUGAUUCAUGGUUAUUUUGUUCUUGAGUUUUUAUCAUCUGGGCAUUGAUUAUUUUUUGGCCCCCUUUCUGGGCAUUUGAUUUUCAGGAUUGACUUGAAGAAUUUGGAUUGUUUUCCGUUUCUGAUGUUGGAUGAAUUUGGAUCCUUUUCCGCUUCUAAUGUUGGACGAUUUUUCAGUGGGGUUUUUCAAACUUGGGCUUCUUCCCAGUUAAGUGAUGAUCUUGCACAUUUGUUUGCUGCCUCCUAAAGAUUGCAAUCUUUGUAGUUCUAUACCUCUAUAAUCAUAAUGCACCAGAGCAUGUGAAUCAGUUUUCGACUAUUAAAGAUUGCAAAGCCAGUACCUCUUUUCUUUGAGAAAUUGAACAUUUUGGUUCUACUUUCAUUUUUGGAUAAAGAGCUGCAUACUUAACUGCAUCGACUCAAGGUGCAGGAGCGGUGGAGAAAGUAGAAGUAGAGGUGGAGAUAAAGGAAUAUAAGUAUGAGAAAUUAGUUAAAG